UACGAAGGGGGCUAGCGUUGUUCGGAUUUACUGGGCGUAAAGCGCACGUAGGCGGUUUGUUAAGUGAGAGGUGAAAUCCCAGAGCUCAACUCUGGAACUGCCUUUCAUACUGGCAAGCUAGAGUCCGGAAGAGGUAAGUGGAACUCCUAGUGUAGAGGUGGAAUUCGUAGAUAUUAGGAAGAACACCAGUGGCGAAGGCGGCUGACUGGACAUGUAUUGACGCUGAGGUGCGAAAGCGU
rnacentral:rRNA from 1 species